GAUUUCAGACUUUUUGAGUUUUUUGAAGUCAUAUAUGACUUAUACUUGCACAACACAUGCCUGUAUUUUGAGGAUGAUGUUUUGGCUGAAAAUUGUGCUUGUGGCAUUAUUUUGAGCAUGAUUUGUUGACGUUUGUUGGGUUGGUUGCUUGCUGCCAGAAAUUUUUGUAUGUGUGGUUGAUGCUUGAUAAUUGGUGGGUUUCUGUAUGUUGGACUUAUUGAGUGAUAUUUACUGAAAUUUCUGAAUUAUUUGGUACUAAUUUUGUGUUUGAUUGUCACCGGCUUUUAAAUGAACAUCACUAUUGGGAGCCACACAAAUUUACUCAUGUUUCGACAUGUGAAAUGCUGUUAAAUGAACAUCACUAUUGGAAACCACACAAAUUUACUCAUGUUUCCACAUGUGAAAGAGUACAACUACUGCAGCAUGAACCAUAUGCAAACUGGUCAUCAAGCUCCAAAAUAUUGUUUUACUAUGUUUAUUAAUAGAUUUGGAUUGAAAUAUAUAUUUAUUUAAAUA